rnacentral:RNase_P_RNA from 1 species
CAGGCCGGUCGGAUGAUCGCGGUCUCGCCAGGCGCGAGACUGAGGAAAGUCCGCACUCCACAGAGCACGGUGCCGGGUAAUACCCGGGGCGGGGUAACUCGCCGGAUAGGGCCACAGAAACAGGUAGCCCUCGCCACCCCUGAGGGGGAGCGAGUGGUGAUAGUGAAAAGGUGGUGUAAGAGACCACCAGCGCCUGUAGUAAUACAGGCGGCUAGGUAACCCCCACCGGGAGCAAGGCCAAGCAGGGGCAAAGCCCGCGUCAGCGGGCGGGAGGUGGCUCGCCUCCCUGGAGCCCCGGGUAGGCCGCUAGAGCGAGUCGGUAACGGCUCGCCCAGAUAGAUGAUCAUCCCGGCCGGUGCCGUCUCUGGGCUGACCAGAGAUACCCACCGGACGGACAGAAUGCGGCUUAUAGACCGACCUGGAGC